rnacentral:tRNA from 1 species
GCCCGGGUGGUGGAAUGGUAUACACGCUUGACUUAAAAUCAAGUACCGCAAGGUAUGUGGGUCCGACUCCCACCCCGGGCACCA